GCCUGGGUGGCUCAGUCAGUUGAGCAUCUGACUUCUGCUCAGGUCAUGAUCUCAUGGUUCGUGGGUUCAAUCCCCACAUCAGGCU
rnacentral:tRNA from 1 species